CUUGAUUUUAUUGGCGGGUUCAUUUACUUCAUAUUGGCCUUUUCAAUGUUCCACAGGUCAUCACACAUUAUAUGAAUGGUACAGAUCGGUGGAAAGUGAGCACUUUUCUAACCCUACGUGUCAGGUUCUAAAGGAAUGGAAGCUAAGUCCCGAGCGGGAAAAUGAGGUGAAAUUGCUGCAGCCGGCAAGCAACCAUAGAAAAUUUCCGAGCAACGGGAGGGCAAAUGCUUUUCAUCAGGAUCAUCUAAAUACAUUUAAGAUUGUUGAUCGUUUUGUCAUUCAACCAACAGAUAAAUUGCAAGUAGCGUGGUAGACGGGUCAACAACGUCUCAUUGACUA